ACAUGCCUACAACAUAGCAUUAAUGCACUGAAUCCCAUUAUAAAUCUACAGUUAAAUGCACUUAGGCUAGAGUAGUACUGGGAUGGGUGACCGCCCGGGAAGUCCUAGUAUUUUACAUGCC
rnacentral:rRNA from 1 species